CCCUACCCACAUCUCCUCUCUUAUAGACAGAACCACUGUCCUCUCUCUUUCUUCUCCCUCUCUCUCCAGCCAUGUGUUCCAGCUUAGCAUCAGCCCCUCUUUCUGUCUGUCUCUUCCUCCUCCUCAGAGUAACCUUCAUCACAUCAAAAGGAACAGAUGGCUUCAUCAGAACAACAGCAGCUACUGUUAAUCAAUGUGGAACAGGGUUCACCGUGACGGAGGUGACGGUCUUGGAGCCUCGAGCACUGAAGAUGCACGCUGUUGCUCGAUCAAAAUUCAGAGGCGAAGUUCCCACGUUUGUAGAUACUCCAUUCACCGUAUGCCGACUCAAUUGGAAAGGACUUCACAUUUCAAUCGCGCUGCAGCGCGGAUCUCCUGCACCACGGAUUGAAUCCAGUCCUUAGUGUUUGAGUUGUGUCGAGAUCAGACAGACCCUGACCCUGGGCUGACCUUUGACCCCUGGCUGACACGGUUCCAGGUCGUACAGCUAGACGGGUCACCAGUGUACCCACCCUGUGGAAGAGUCCUCGCCACGACUACACCACCACCGCCGACUCCAACGGUCAAACCUACAACCACAACUAAAACUUACCGGGUGGUUGACAUAGAUGGGUCUCCUGUGAUCCAUUACCACCCCUGCCGGGUCAUACCGGUGGAACGACAACACCCGGACCAACAUCUGACCACAAGACCACCGCAAUCACAAGAAACGGUCAAAGCUAAAACCACAACUACGACUGUGAACAGGAAAGCCCAUGUUAAUCAACCACUAUUUGCCAAAACAGUUGGUCACCCCCUCAACCGCCCUUACCCAAAGUUGCACAUCCCCCUCCUUCUGGCCAAUAGCAGGCCAGCUCUGUCCCGCUACAAUUUGCUCAGUUGUUUCAGACUCCCUGCUCAUUGGCUGUUUCCUGGACACAGACUGCUCUCUAAGCCAAUAGGAAGGCUCCCUCGCCAACACAGCGGGACCAAUAGCGUGGCGUGGACCAAUAGCAAGAGGAACAGAGACUUGGUGUCGUUACUGAAGAGGAGCAACAGACAGUCUGUCCUUCUGUCAGUCCUGAGGAGAGGACAGACUCACAGAAAGAACAUUGUAGGCUCCUCCUCUGAAGAGGGGGACUAUAGAAAUAAAAUGAAUAGAACAGGCUUGGAACCUCUAACCCUGGUCAUAUGACUGGUAAAUAGAAUGAAUAGAACAGGCUUGGAACCUCUAACCCUGGUCAUAUGACUGGUAAAUAGAAUGAAUAGA